CCUGGUUGAUCCUGCCAGUAGUCAUAUGCUUGUCUCAAAGAUUAAGCCAUGCAUGUCUAAGUGCAUGCCAAAUUAAGGUGAAACCGCGAAUGGCUCAUUAAAUCAGUUAUGGUUCCUUAGAUCGUACCCACAUUUACUUGGAUAACUGUGGUAAUUCUAGAGCUAAUACAUGCAAACCAGAGUUCCGACCAGAGAUGGAAGGAACGCUUUUAUUAGAUCAAAACCAAUCGGUGGCGGGCUUUGCUCGUCCACCGUUUACUUUGGUGACUCUGAAUAACUUUGUGCUGAUCGCACGGUCUCGUACCGGCGACGCAUCUUUCAAAUGUCUGCCUUAUCAACUGUCGAUGGUAGGUUCUGCGCCUACCAUGGUUGUAACGGGUAACGGGGAAUCAGGGUUCGAUUCCGGAGAGGGAGCCUGAGAAACGGCUACCACAUCCAAGGAAGGCAGCAGGCGCGCAAAUUACCCACUCCCGGCACGGGGAGGUAGUGACGAAAAAUAACGAUACGGGACUCAUCCGAGGCCCCGUAAUCGGAAUGAGUACACUUUAAAUCCUUUAACGAGGAUCAAUUGGAGGGCAAGUCUGGUGCCAGCAGCCGCGGUAAUUCCAGCUCCAAUAGCGUAUAUUAAAGUUGUUGCGGUUAAAAAGCUCGUAGUUGAAUCUGUGUCGCACGCUGUCGGUUCGCCGCUCGCGGUGUUUAACUGACAUGCUCGUGAGACGUCCUACCGGUGGGCUUAGCUCCUUCGGGGGCGGUCCAACUAAUAUCCCAUCGCGGUGCUCUUUAUUGAGUGUCGAGGUGGGCCGGUACGUUUACUUUGAACAAAUUAGAGUGCUUAAAGCAGGCUAUCAUUUGCCUGAAUAUUCUGUGCAUGGAAUAAUGGAAUAGGACCUCGGUUCUAUUUUGUUGGUUUUAAGAAACCCGAGGUAAUGAUUAAUAGGGACAGAUGGGGGCAUUCGUAUUGCGACGUUAGAGGUGAAAUUCUUGGAUCGUCGCAAGACGGACAGAAGCGAAAGCAUUUGCCAAAAAUGUUUUCAUUAAUCAAGAACGAAAGUUAGAGGUUCGAAGGCGAUCAGAUACCGCCCUAGUUCUAACCAUAAACGAUGCCAGCUAGCGAUCCGCCGAAGUUCCUCCGAUGACUCGGCGGGCAGCUUCCGGGAAACCAAAGCUUUUGCGUUCCGGGGGAAGUAUGGUUGCAAAGCUGAAACUUAAAGGAAUUGAUGG
rnacentral:rRNA from 1 species